AUAGAUCCUGAAACCGCAUGCUUACAAAAAGUAGGAGCCUCGAAAGGGGUGACUGCGUACCUUUUGUAUAAUGGGUCAGCGACUUACAUUCAGUGGCAAGGUUAACCGAAUAGGGAAGCCGUAGAGAAAUCGAGUCCGAAUAGGGCGAUCAGUCGCUGGGUGUAGACCCGAAACCAAGUGAUCUAUCCAUGGGCAGGAUGAAGGUGCCGUAACAGGUACUGGAGGUCCGAACCGACUAAUGUUGCAAAAUUAGCGGAUGACCUGUGGAUAGGGGUGAAAGGCUAAACAAACUUGGAAAUAGCUGGUUCUCUCCGAAAACUAUUUAGGUAGUGCCUCAAGUAUUACCAUCGGGGGUAGAGCACUGUUUUGGCUAGGGGGUCAUGGCGACUUACCAAACCAAGGCAAACUCCGAAUACCGAUGAGUACAGCUUGGGAGACAGAGCACCGGGUGCUAACGUCCGGACUCAAGAGGGAAACAACCCAGACCGCCAGCUAAGGUCCCUAAAAUUGGCUAAGUGGGAAACGAAGUGGGAAGGCUAAAACAGUCAGGAUGUUGGCUUAGAAGCAGCCAUCAUUUAAAGAAAGCGUAAUAGCUCACUGAUCGAGUCGUCCUGCGCGGAAGAUGUAACGGGGCUAAGCCAGUUACCGAAGCUGCGGAUUUGCAAUUUAUUGCAAGUGGUAGGAGAGCGUUCUGUAGGCCUGUGAAGGUGGUGGUGUAAACCCUGCUGGAGGUAUCAGAAGUGCGAAUGCUGACAUGAGUAGCGUUAAAGGGGGUGAAAAGCCCCCUCGCCGUAAGCGCAAGGUUUUCUACGCAACGUUCAUCGGCGUAGAGUGAGUCGGCCCCUAAGGCGAGGCAGAGAUGCGUAGCUGAUGGGAAACAGGUCAAUAUUCCUGUACCGAUUACAAGUGCGAUGUGGGGACGGAGAAGGUUAGCUCAGCCAACUGUUGGAUAUGUUGGUUCAAGCCUGUAGUCGUGCCUGGUAGGCAAAUCCGCCGGGCUUAGAUGAGGGGUGAUAACGAGUGUGCUUGCACACGAAGUGAGUGAUACCCUGCUUCCAGGAAAAGCCACUAAGCUUCAGCUUGUAAUUGACCGUACCGCAAACCGACACUGGUGCGCGAGAUGAGUAUUCUAAGGCGCUUGAGAGAACUCAGGAGAAGGAACUCGGCAAAUUGAUACCGUAACUUCGGGAGAAGGUAUGCCCCUAUUAGGUGAACUUGAACAAAGGGAGCCGAACGGGGUUGCAAAAAAUCGGUGGCUGCGACUGUUUAAUAAAAACACAGCACUCUGCAAACACGAAAGUGGACGUAUAGGGUGUGACGCCUGCCCGGUGCUGGAAGAUUAAAUGAUGGGGUGCAAGCUCUUGAUUGAAGUCCCAGUAAACGGCGGCCGUAACUAUAACGGUCCUAAGGUAGCGAAAUUCCUUGUCGGGUAAGUUCCGACCUGCACGAAUGGCGUAACGAUGGCCACACUGUCUCCUCCUGAGACUCAGCGAAGUUGAAAUGUUUGUGAUGAUGCAAUCUCCCCGCGGAAAGACGGAAAGACCCCAUGAACCUUUACUGUAGCUUUGUAUUGGACUUUGAACAGAUCUGUGUAGGAUAGGUGGGAGGCUUUGAAGCCGGGACGCUAGUCUCGGUGGAGCCGACGUUGAAAUACCACCCUGGUGUGUUUGAGGUUCUAACCUAGGUCCAUUAUCUGGAUCGGGGACAGUGCAUGGUAGGCAGUUUGACUGGGGCGGUCUCCUCCCAAAGCGUAACGGAGGAGUUCGAAGGUACGCUAGUUACGGUCGGACAUCGUGAUAAUAGUGCAAUGGCAUAAGCGUGCUUAACUGCGAGACUGACAAGUCGAGCAGAUACGAAAGUAGGACAUAGUGAUCCGGUGGUUCUGUAUGGAAGGGCCAUCGCUCAACGGAUAAAAGGUACUCUGGGGAUAACAGGCUGAUACCGCCCAAGAGUUCAUAUCGACGGCGGUGUUUGGCACCUCGAUGUCGGCUCAUCUCAUCCUGGGGCUGUAGCCGGUCCCAAGGGUAUGGCUGUUCGCCAUUUAAAGAGGUACGUGAGCUGGGUUUAAAACGUCGUGAGACAGUUUGGUCCCUAUCUUCCGUGGGCGCUG
rnacentral:rRNA from 1 species